rnacentral:pre_miRNA from 1 species
GGCUUUCUGUAUUCGUGCCAAUAUUUCGUCAGAUAUCACCCCACAAGAACUGAUGACAGUCUCAAGAUAAGUAAGGCG